CUCUUUCUCUCAUCUCCUGUCUUCGCCUCCACGCCGCACCGCAGACAAGAUUGCCCUCAUCGCUGACUCUGAACCACGUUGCCACAGCCACAUCUACUAGCUCUCCCCAAUCCGAACCGAAGCCACACACCCACACCAUAUCUGCACCAGCCAUCCUCGUGAUCUCUCUGUCUCCCAUCGCCAGCCGCCACCGCGCCCUCCUCCCACCGGAUUUAGAGGCGAUUCAUGGGAGUGGUGCGCAGGCUGCUACUGCGGUAUCAAUGGAGGCUGACUGCCAUGGAGGAUCUGAGCAUCGAGGCGAAGGAGGCCGCGGUACGCAUACCCCAUCCUCCGUGUGGCGGCCUCCCUCCGAGCACCCACCCGCCCCACCCCCUUUCUUCUCCCUCCAUCGCGUCGUCAUCAUACUACAGAAAGUACAAGGAGGACAUGUUGAUGGUCUCCAUGAUGGAAGGACCACGCCGCACGGAGAAGCCCACCGGUGUCAUCUUCCGCAAGGUCCGCUCGGUCGUCCAUGUCCGUUCGUCCUCUUCCUGGGCGGUUGGCGCGUGAUCUGGCGAGACCUCCCAAUGGGUCAAAAUCUAUUUUGUGCUUGGCGAUGUAUUCCUUAAGGACCGCCAUGCUCUUCUCCUUUGGCGCGGUCAGCUGCUUCGACAAAGGAUACCAUACUCAUUGUUGAUAGCAAAUGAUUGGGUUCCCUAAACCAGGUUUGCUUUUACUCUUGGAUCAAGACUCACCUGGCUAGCCGAGUAGUCGUCCAUCGCGUUUUGAAGGCAGACAGGAAGUUAUGGUUAGCUGCAGGUUAAAGCGAAUGAAAUGAACCAUCAUCUGUAACAAGGUGCUAUAUCAAUGACAAGCAGCAACAAAGCGUAACACACUAAAGGCAAGUUUUUUUAACAACCUUUGGUCUAAUAUUUGCCAUUAUAAUAGCAUAUAGUUGUACUUGUAGAAUAUAAAUAGCAGAUACAAAACAUAACAAAGCAUACCUUUAGUAUAUCUUGAAACUAUUUAGUGUAUAAAUAAAAGUACCAAUUAUUCAAAACAUAUAUCAAAGUUUCAUUCCAACAUCUGGCUUGAAUAUGUAGACAAAAUGAUUUAAAUAGACUAACCAAUGAUCAAUGUUAGUGGUUCUACUUCAGCAAUUGUAAAGGGAUGCUUAUUUUUUGGUCACGAUGCGGUGUCGUGCUUUCAGCCGUGGAAUUAUGUUUAAUGGAGUGGUCAAAAUUUAUGCCGCCAUGUCAGUCCACUAGAUCAGAAGCAUCUGUGUCCUGCGGCAGCAUGAUGGGCUCACCUAUAAACAAAUGGAUAAGCCUUCCCUGACCCAGAACAGAAGAGGUUCAAUGGUUCGGCAUAUAACAUUAGAAGUCGAUUGUUUUUUCCUUUAUUUUUUGGAGGGCAGAUUCAUAUUUGGGCGUUUGGCACAGGCUUUGGCUCAAGUCUACGACAUCUUAAACCAUUUUGUUUGCAGUCAUGCACGGAGAAGACAGAGGAAUUGCACCCAACAAGCCCUUGAUAUCCAAGGACCACGAGCGUACCUAAUUUGAUUCUACAGACUGGGUCGAUCUCUCUAUGAUUAACAAACACAAUAAAAAAACUAUAUGUACUAAUCGAUUUAUAAUGUUUGUAUGUACUAAUCGAUUUAUAAGGCUUGUAUAUACUAAUCGAUUUUAUAAUGUAGCUGCUAGGAAAAAUUCAGAACUGAAAUAAAGGACACAACAAUUUUUGCCACUUCAGCAACUUCAUAGCAUGUUUUCCAACAAGGAUACAACUCCAAGAAGAACGAUGUUGGUCUGUUAUGACCGGUCGCCACUACAGGCGCCGGGCAACAGCAUAGGCAUGCAGAUAAGGAUUAUAAGAUGAUAAUGAUUAGAAGAUUAAGGAGAUAAGAUUUGUUAGAGAGAAAAGAGGGAAUUUAUCUCAUUAGAUAAGGACAAGAAGGGAGUAUAAAUAAUUGUAAGCACCACUCUAUAGGGAUUAAGCAGAAACAAGAUUGUUCUGGCUUCCUAGAGGGAGCCGGGAGAUUACUGUGACCUAGCCGCCCCUUUCCUCGCGUCUCUCAUCUCGCGCGCGGUGAACACGGCGCCCCGCCGUUGUGCAUCGCGCCUCAAACCCCGGCCACCAAUCACCCACCACUACAACCUGAGAUCGAUCAGGGAAUCCGCCCCGAUUCCUAUCAUGGUCAUUGUGGAUGAGAUGGACUAUUUAAUAACAAGAGAUUGUGUUGUGCUACAUGAUCUUUUAAUGCUUACAAUUUGUUCUAUCUCUAGAUGCAUAUUCAUAGGUGAAGUUUAUUUUCUGUACUGUUUAAUUUCUAAAAACUAGAUGAACUAUCUUGUUCGGUUAAUUUUCUGUACUAUUAAAUUUCUGAAAACUGGAGUUUUUGCAUGUACUAAUUUCUAUGUGAUGGUUUCUAUGUGUGCUAUCUGCAUGUCUCUUUAAUUAUCUCUAUAUAUCUGGUUAGACGACAACCUUCUAUCUAUGAAUUAUAUGUCAUGUCUCUUUAAUUAUCUCUAUAUCAAUGUCUACCUAUGUGAUAUAAGAUACCGUAGCAACGCGCGUGCACCUAAUUAGUGAAUUUGGAAGUGUGACUUUAUAAAAACAAAUGAGUUAUAUGUUCAAGAUAAUGUUAAUAGUCAUACUAUUUAAAGUCCUUUUACUUUCUUAUUUGGAUGAGUCUUUUUUCACAUAUCUUCCUUCUUAAUGUACCAUUCAUGGUUCUAUUGAUAGCUCAAGGUCGUGUGAAUGUUGCCGCUGAGUACUACAAACAACAGGUAGAGAUGUUAGAGGGUUUUAGUGAGAUGGGCGCAUUUACAGAUCAUGCUUUCCUACCUGUAAUGUCCAAGGUAUGUUAUAUAUGGACUUUCUGUUUGAACAUUAGGGAAGGUAACUUAUGUGGAUGUUAAUAAUCAAAUUUUCUUCACUAUAUUUUUUCUUCUUUUUAAUAGUGACGACAUCAAUAGAUAUCUGGCCACUUUAUUGACCUGCAGGAAGAACACGAAAAAGUUAUCAGGAGUGAACCAUUAGCCAUAUGGUUGUCUAAUAUUGCAAAUAUGGUUCUCUUUGCUGCAAAAGUGUAUGCUUUAGUAAGGAGUGGUUCACUUGCUAUUAUCGCAUCAACUUUGGAUUCUCUUCUAGACUUUUUGUCACGAUAUAUCUUGUGGUUUACUGCCUUUUCAAUGCAAACGCCAAAUCCCUAUAGAAACCCAAUUGGAAAAAGCGUAUGCAGCCGCUGGUGAGUUCUUUUUUGCCAUAACCUGUACUUCCAAAAAUGAUGGUUGAUGUUGACAUCUAGAUCUAUUGUCCAGAAUGUUUUGUACUCUUUUCUGCGAAAAUGAUUUACUUAUCUUUUACGUAAUCUGAAUUAUUGUCUCUGCAUUUUGAAUAGAAUGAGCAUUGCUUUCCAUGUUUCUUUCUGAGGCAAACAAUAAAGAUCUGAAUUGACAGGAAAUCAAUAAACUUACUCAACACUGUGUGCUCACUACUCAGUAAUUCUUACUUACUGGAAUAUAAAUUACCUGUCUAUAAAUACUAAUUGUUGAGUUCAUGAUUGAAGUCAUAGAACCAUGGACCCUUUUUAUCCAGUCACCUCUGUUUGAAUUUUCUUUAAGUUAAUGAUGAACUUGUUAUGACUUCCAAUUUGACAUUUGCUUUUGAGAUGCGUUGUCACUUGUUGGGGCAACUUCCAUGUGUCAAACUUUUGUUUGUCAUGCCUUUUUUUCAUAUUCUUUUUUCUUUCAACUUUACUGGGAUUUUCUAAUAGAUCGCCUCUUAGUUAUAUUGUUGAUUUGUGAUCCUUCCAAAACCAUACUAUCACCUAAAAAUGAUCAGUUCAUCCAGCAAUGUUUUGUUUGUCUAUUUCUUGUCAUGGUGCACUUAUUAGAAUUGUUGCCCACUUUUACUUUUUACAUCUGAUAAUAUGUUUAAGAAACUAUUUUUACUUGAUUCUUGACUUGUAGAUACCUUUUUAUUUCUGUAUUGUAUCCCACAAACUUUCCUGCUAGAUAUUCAGUUGAUGUUUUGUACUUGUAUAUACCUUGUCCACAUAAAACUUGUGUGAUAUACUUUUAUGAAAUUGAUACAUAUGAUAGGUUGUUUAAUGUUUUAGAGAAAUGCUCUUGAUAACCAUAGUUGGUCAUAUAUUAUAGUUCAUCUACUUAAACAUAUUGUACCUUUUUUACAUCUCUCAUUUGAGUACAACUGUAGUAUUUGUUCAUAACAUAUUGUAGCUUAACCAGAACACUAAAGUUCAAAUUCCUUACCUUUCAAUGCUCAAGGUUUUUAUGUCUUGUACAGUAAAUGCGGCCAUUUUUGUUUGGUUUGAGAAAAAAAGAUUUUUUUGUUUUGUUUGAGGCAAAUUCUCAACUGUGCUGCAGUGUAGUACUGUAGUGGCAACAUUUUACUUCUGUCACGUUGCAGCAGGUGGCCCCAAAGAUCUGAGCAGCAAUUGUGAUUUAGUGAAUUAAUGGUAACCCUGCAAUAAUAAUAUCUGUUUUAUGACAACAACUAUUGCUAAAGAAUUAGAUAUUGAUGAAUAUCGUAUUGAUAUACUAUCAAAUUUUAGAAAUAUAUUUCGUUUUUCAGAAUUAUUGUUGAAUGCAAACAAAACAAUGAGAUAUCUAUAUAUGUAACACAAUUUUUCGUCAUA